AUUAUUAAAGAUCUGUAGCCAUUUUGCUGCUUUACUUGUUUAUCUUAUGUUUGUCUCUUUUCUGUUGUUUAAGUAUACACACUGGAGACCAGGGGAGCCAAAUAAUGAUGCUGGACAUGCCAGCAAACACCAGGAUUGUAUGGCCUUUUAUGGUAGCACUGGGCUUUGGGAUGAUGGAUGGUGUGAAACGGAACAUAACUUCAUCUGUGAAAUAGAGCUUGAUGUGGAACCUAGCCAGAUAGUUGGAUGAUAAGCAUUAUUAUUUGAUGUCGAUUUAUGUGCAAAAGCCACAAUAAAAGUCACGUUUCAACUGUA